rnacentral:rRNA from 1 species
AUACGUAGGGUGCGAGCGUUGUCCGGAAUUACUGGGCGUAAAGAGCUCGUAGGUGGUUUGUCGCGUCGUCUGUGAAAUUCCGGGGCUUAACUCCGGGCGUGCAGGCGAUACGGGCAUAACUUGAGUACUGUAGGGGAGACUGGAAUUCCUGGUGUAGCGGUGAAAUGCGCAGAUAUCAGGAGGAACACCGGUGGCGAAGGCGGGUCUCUGGACAGUAACUGACGCUGAGGAGCGAAAGCAUGGGUAGCGAACAGGAUUAGAUACCCUGGUAGUCCAUGCCGUAAACGGUGGGCGCUAGGUGUAGGGGUCUUCCACGACUUCUGUGCCGUAGCUAACGCAUUAAGCGCCCCGCCUGGGGAGUACGGCCGCAAGGCUAAAACUCAAAGGAAUUGACGGG